ensembl:lncRNA
AUCUCUCAAUAAGGAUGACCUGUCUGCUGCUCCUACUUGGGAAAAGUGGAAAUCUCAUCUGGAUUCUUACCUUCAUACAGCUUUUGAUUCACACCAAAUUUCCAUAAACCUGAAUAUUUAAAAAUUCAUUGUAAAUUGGCCCGUUAAGAGUCAGUGAGAAGACAGAAAGGAAUGUGUGUCAACACAAACAUUUGUCUGAAUAGGAACAAAACAAAACAUAGGAACUUGGAGUUCUUCCAAAGCCACCUGGAACAAAAUAAACUUUUUUUUUUUUUUUGCUUUAUUCAUUGGCAGGAUACGUAGCAAAUAAAAUCAUCAUCAUACAAGAAGUCAGUCAAAUAUGCACUCUCUCGCAGAUUUUUCCCAGAACAUGCAGUAGGAAGAAGAUCAAAUAUUUGGACAAGCAGAAUAGAUAUAAAGAGAUGUAUCUCCUGAAAUCUUUCUUCGUAUCACAUACAGCAGCAAGAACAAAUGCUUGGCUACGUGGCAAUAAGCACUGAAUCCACUCAUAUCUCAUUAAGCUGAUUUCUCCUGAAAUAGAAACCUCAGGAAUGCAGCACACAGGCCAGGUGUCCUGAUAUUCCUCAGUAACUGAUCUUCUCUCAGAAGAUGAGGGAAAAGCUUUUGCCAGAUCUGAUACCUGAGUAUCUAUCUUGCUGAUGUUGGAGGAGAUCCGUAAUGAUGUACUGGGUGCAGUGGAAGUCUAACUCAUCGUUUGCACAUCAGUCAAAAUGAUUGCAAAAAAAAAAGAAAAGAAAAGAAAAAAAAGCUGAAGGAAAAUAUGAAGACGUGAUAAACCUCACUCUUUCAUCUUCGGUAAAAUGAGACAGGGAGCAGGGAAGGUUAAGUAAUCCUGUGCAUUCCAAUCUCUGUGCCAUAUUCUUAUUGCCCAGUGUGUCUUCAAGAAAGUUUCUUGUUCAGUAUGAUCUCUACUGCUUUGUGUCACCAAAAGUUUCUGAUGUUUCUUACAGUCAGUGGGUGGUAAAGAUGCAGUCCUGUAAUGACUGGAGUAGCUGAAGAUUUCGUUGUCAGAAUGAAUGCCAACAAAUAUUGAAUAGCAAUCCACAAGGUAAUAUUUUCUUCAUGAUAAUACAUAUUCAAAACUAUAAUUUCACUUGAAAAUGAAGCACUGUUUUGCACCAGAUUUCACUGGAAAAUGAUCACCAGGAGCCCCUCUGUCAAAAAACAAACGCAUGAUCUUGAGAAAUAGUGGACUAAAAUGAAUGGUGUGAAGAAGUCAGAACUUAUUCUAUGUGGGCAUAAGAACUUGGUAGACAUUCUUCUUUAGAUUUGCCUCAAAUCUAUCAAGUGUGCAAAUUCAGAGCAGCAGGGACUAAUGGUGUACAGGGAUGCGCUCUAAAGGUGCUUGGACUUCUCUCCGGCUGAACGCUGUCAGAAUUCUUCUCAAGGAAUGCUUCUCUCCUACAGAGGAAACCACUGCAAAUGUCUGGUAACUUCUCUCCAGUUUGGAAAAGAAAAGUGUUAUCUCUCUUCUAAAACUGACUCUGCAGUGAGCUAUUGCCACAGAGCUUGUACUCAGAUUGUGCCGGUAUCUCUCAGCAGUGCUGUUCUGAAUGGCUCAGAGCUAUUUUUCUGAGCCAUUUCUCUGGCCUGUCAGAAAAGCAUGAACGUUUUCACAAGACCCAUUAAUUUCACACAACAUUAAUUACAGAACCAGAACCAGUGUACGAAACAAAAGCUCAGAAUGAUGAAAAUAAAUAUUCACUCAAACCUAGGCUCCCUGACAGGGCUGGUGAUGCGGUGGAGUGUUCUGUGACUGUAGUGACUUACAGCAGCCUCAGGAGAGCAAUCAGCACAGUGACAUCUUCCCCUGAAAUCUCAUCACAACACAUCUAUUUUGUAAAAUGUUUCAAUUUUUGGUUGAUUUACAUAACAAGCAGGGAGAAUACUUUAUUUACUCUUAGAAAAUAGUACCAUCUUCCUGCAAACAGAAACACUAGGCUCAAAACUCAGACUUCAGCUGAAAUUAUUUUUAAUCCAUUUUAGUAAUUACUUAAUUAAUGGCUCUUAAAGUGCACUGAGACAGAGAGCCGUGAGACUGGUGGAUUAUAAAUCUGCAGAGGGGCAAAGAACAAAGACACUGCAAUAUAACUGACCAAAGCGCCGGUGCUCCUGAACAUGUUGUUACCUUGGGAGGUCUGACUUAUAUUAAUUUUUAACCUCUUAGUGAUGGCUUAAGUUUGUAUAUGGAGGGGGAGCACUUCUAAGGUGCCAAAGGAGACCAGCUGGCCAUUCCCCUUUAAGUGGAUGGCAGAUCAAUAACAGAAUCUUCUGGUAAUGCAAGAAAAACAAAAUCUACCUUCUGUUAUG